rnacentral:lncRNA from 1 species
GUCAAUUUGACCAACGUCUCCUAUACUUUAAACGACGUCGACGUCAAAGGUUUAUUACACUAGUGUAUUAUCAUUUUUAUGUAAUGGCUUUAUUACAUUCCCGCGACGUCAAUCAUGUGAUAAUAACGAAUAUCCAACAGUUACAGCCAAAACAGCACAUCAUAAGUUUGAAAUUCCAGUUUUUGUUCAGUAAUAAGGGCUUGUAAAAGUUACUAAAUUACCUUCAAUACUAUAUUUGUCCUGAAUCACCCUUUAAUUAAUUAGAAAACUUAAUUUGUAUUGUUAUAGCUUUUGAAAAUGUCGAUAGCCGCUUGACCCGGGAGUCGAAGAUUCGAGUCCAACUGAGGUCACGAUCGAGCCUAAUCAUAAUUCACCAGUACUGGUCUUUCCAGGGAGAGGACUCAAGAGUAAAGAAUGAAAGGCUUGUUGUCUCGUCAGCAUGAUGUCCCAUUAAGAAUCAGAUAAUGUGUAUUUAUGGCACUGGCCAUCUGAUAAGCUUGGAACCUGGAACAUAUGCGCAUUAAUGUUUAAAAGCAACUAAUUAAGCCUCAUAAGCGAAUAUUUAAUCGAUUGAUCAUUUACACCGUUUUGUGUACGAGUAUCAAAUACACCAUUUACUAUAUCCCUCACACGAUCAAGGAAACUUGAAAGCGACAUUUUAUGAUAACUGUUUUCAAGAUUAUAAAAUUUUAUUUCAACUGACCUAUGGUGGCCUCUGGAUAUAGACGAAUGUAACACCUGAUUUCAUUGGUCAGUGAAUUUGGUGCAUUCUUUUAUUUUGUCCGAGGGUCAUACUAAUUCAAUUGUCUUAAAGCUAAAUAAUAUGUCUUUAAGUUAAUUCAAUUUAGUACGACCCAGGGUCAUACUAAUUGGAAUAUGUCCGACCCUGGGUCGUACUAAAGAUGGCGGCUGUA